ACGACGAAAUCGACACCUUUCACAAGCAGAGGGAUGUUGUUCCGCUUGAUGUAAAUGCUGGUGUUGGGGAGUCAGAUGAAGAAGAAGAGCUACCUGUCUUUGAUCUCAAGGGUGUCAAUGGUGAUCUCGACGACGACA